rnacentral:rRNA from 1 species
GGCGGACGGGUGAGUAACACGUGGGCAACCUGCCUUAGUGAGGGGGAUAGCCUUCCGAAAGGAAGAUUAAUACCGCAUAAAGUAUCAGAGUCACAUGGCUUUGAUAAAAAAGGAGAAAUCCGCACUAAGAUGGGCCCGCGGCGCAUUAGCUAGUUGGAGAGGUAACGGCUCACCAAGGCGACGAUGCGUAGCCGACCUGAGAGGGUGAACGGCCACAUUGGAACUGAGAAACGGUCCAGACUCCUACGGGAGGCAGCAGUGGGGAAUAUUGCACAAUGGAGGAAACUCUGAUGCAGCAACGCCGCGUGAGUGAAGAAGGUCUUCGGAUUGUAAAGCUCUGUUAAUCGGGACGAAAAAUGACGGUACCGAUAGAGGAAGCCACGGCUAACUACGUGCCAGCAGCCGCGGUAAUACGUAGGUGGCGAGCGUUGUCCGGAAUUACUGGGCGUAAAGGAUGCGUAGGUGGAUAAUUAAGUCAGAUGUGAAAAUCCCGGGCUCAACUUGGGAACUGCAUUUGAAACUGGAUAUCUAGAGUGCAGGAGAGGAAAGCGGAAUUCCUAGUGUAGCGGUGAAAUGCGUAGAUAUUAGGAAGAACACCAGUGGCGAAGGCGGCUUUCUGGACUGUAACUGACACUGAGGCAUGAAAGCGUGGGGAGCAAACAGGAUUAGAUACCCUGGUAGUCCACGCUGUAAACGAUGGGUACUAGGUGUGGGAGGUAUCGACUCCUUCCGUGCCGCAGUUAACACAAUAAGUACCCCGCCUGGGGAGUACGAUGGCAACAUUAAAACUCAAAGGAAUUGA